UACGUAGGGUGCGAGCGUUAAUCGGAAUUACUGGGCGUAAAGCGUGCGUAGGCGGUUCGUUAAGUCAGCUGUGAAAGCCCCGGGCUCAACCUGGGAAUUGCGGUUGAAACUGGCGAACUAGAAUCUGGCAGAGGGGGGGAUGGAAUUCCGCGUGUAGCAGUGAAAUGCGUAGAUAUGCGGAGGAACACCGAUGGCGAAGGCAAUCCCCUGGACCUGUACUGACGCUCAUGCACGAAAGCGUGGGGAGCAAACAGG
rnacentral:rRNA from 1 species